CGUUCCCGGGCCUUGUACACACCGCCCGUCACACCACGAAAGUUGGCAACACCCGAAGCCAGUGGCCAACCCUUUUGGGAGGGAGCUGUCGAAGGUGGGGUUAGCGAUUGGGGUG
rnacentral:rRNA from 1 species